GAGGGUACACCUCAGGGGUAGAGCACCUGCUUCUCAUGCACGAGGUCCUGGGUUCAAUUCCCAGUACCACCA
rfam:Camelus ferus unplaced genomic scaffold scaffold84394, whole genome shotgun sequence.